rnacentral:rRNA from 1 species
CGGACGGGUGAGUAAUGCUUGGGAAUCUGGCUUAUGGAGGGGGAUAACUACGGGAAACUGUAGCUAAUACCGCGUAAUAUCUUCGGAUUAAAGGGUGGGACUUUCGGGCCACCUGCCAUAAGAUGAGCCCAAGUGGGAUUAGGUAGUUGGUGGGGUAAAGGCCUACCAAGCCGACGAUCUCUAGCUGGUCUGAGAGGAUGACCAGCCACACUGGAACUGAGACACGGUCCAGACUCCUACGGGAGGCAGCAGUGGGGAAUAUUGCACAAUGGGGGGAACCCUGAUGCAGCCAUGCCGCGUGAAUGAAGAAGGCCUUCGGGUUGUAAAGUUCUUUCGGUGAUGAGGAAGGUGUUUGUUUUAAUAGAACAAGCAAUUGACGUUAGUCACAGAAGAAGCACCGGCUAACUCCGUGCCAGCAGCCGCGGUAAUACGGAGGGUGCGAGCGUUAAUCGGAAUGACUGGGCGUAAAGGGCACGCAGGCGGUGACUUAAGUGAGAUGUGAAAGCCCCGAGCUUAACUUGGGAAUUGCAUUUCAUACUGGGUUGCUAGAGUAUUUUAGGGAGGGGUAGAAUUCCACGUGUAGCGGUGAAAUGCGUAGAGAUGUGGAGGAAUACCGAAGGCGAAGGCAGCCCCUUGGGAAUAUACUGACGCUCAUGUGCGAAAGCGUGGGGAGCAAACAGGAUUAGAUACCCUGGUAGUCCACGCUGUAAACGCUGUCGAUUUGGGGAUUGGGCUUUAAGCUUGGUGCCCGUAGCUAACGUGAUAAAUCGACCGCCUGGGGAGUACGGC